rnacentral:rRNA from 1 species
AGAGUUUGAUCCUGGCUCAGAACGAACGCUGGCGGCGUGGAUUAGGCAUUCAAGUCGCACGAUCUUCGGAUAGUGGCAAAAGGGUGAGUAACACGCGGGUAAUUUACCAUAAAGACUGGGAUAACCUGCUGAAAAGCGGGCUAAUACCGGAUAAGACCACACUACCGCAUGGUAGAGUGGUAAAAGGCGGGGACCCUUCGGGGCCUGCCACUUAUUGAUGAGCCCACGGCCUAUCAGCUUGUUGGUAGGGUAACGGCCUACCAAGGCUUUUGACGGGUAGCUGGUCUGAGAGGAUGGUCAGCCACACUGGGACUGAGACACUGCCCAGACUCCUACGGGAGGCUGCAGUCGAGAAUCUUUUGCAAUGGGGGAAACCCUGACAAUGCGACGCCGCGUGAGGGAUGAAGGUCUUCGGAUUGUAAACCUCUGUCACUAGGGAUGAAUACCAAUGAUCGAACAGGUCAAAGGAAUGACAGUACCUAGAGAGGAAGCCACGGCUAACUCCGUGCCAGCAGCCGCGGUAAUACGGAGGUGGCAAGCGUUGUUCGGAUUGACUGGGUGUAAAGGGUAUGUAGGCGUUCUUAUAAGUCAAGCGUGAAAUCCCUUGGCUCAACCAAGGAAUUGCACUUGAAACUGCAAGAAUUGAGUGAAGGAGAGGAGAAUGGAAUUCCAGGUGUAAGGGUGAAAUCUGUAGAUAUCUGGAAGAACACCAGUGGCGAAAGCGAUUCUCUGGCCUUUAACUGACGCUGAAAUACGAAAGCUAGGGGAGCAAACAGGAUUAGAUACCCUGGUAGUCCUAGCCGUAAACGAUGGGCACUAGGUGUAGGUCCGUCAAGGAUCUGUGCCGCAGUUAACACAUUAAGUGCCCCACCUGGGGACUACGGCCGCAAGGCUGAAACUCAAAGGAAUUGACGGGGACCCGCACAAGCGGUGGAGCAUGUGGUUUAAUACGACGCUACGCGUGGAAUUUUACCAGGGCUUGACAUGUACCUGAAAUCCUUCUGAAAGGUUGGACCUUUUUUAAGGACAGGUACACAGGUGUUGCAUGGCUGUCGUCAGCUCGUGUCGUGAGAUGUUGGGUUAAGUCCCGCAACGAGCGCAACCAUCGCCCUAUGUUGCUAAUCCCGUAAGGGAUGCACUCUUAGGGGACUGCCAGUGAUAAACUGGAGGAAGGUGGAGAUGACGUCAAGUCAGUACGGCCCUUACGCCCUGGGCGACACACGUGCUACAAUCCUCGCUGCAAUGGGCUGCGAAGCCGUAAGGUGAAGCCAAUCCCAAAAAAGCGAGGUCAGUUCGGAUUGAGGGCUGCAAUUCGCCCUCAUGAAGUUGGAAUCGCUAGUAACCGCAGAUCAGCCAUGCUGCGGUGAAUACGUUCCCGGGUCUUGUACACACCGCCCGUCAAGCCACCUGAGUUGAAUGCACCCGAAGUCGCUGACCCAACCUGCAAAGGGGGGAGGCGCCGAAGGUGUGUUUGAUAAGGAGGGCUAAGUCGGAACAAGGUA